rnacentral:rRNA from 1 species
CCUACGGGAGGCAGCAGUGAGGAAUAUUGGUCAAUGGCCGUAAGGCUGAACCAGCCAAGUAGCGUGAGGGAAGACUGCCCUAUGGGUUUAAACCCUCUUUUAUGCGGGGAUAAAGGUGUCCACGUGUGGAUGUUUGCAGGUACCGCAUGAAUACGGACGGGCUAAUUCCUGGCAAGAAGCCGCGGUAAUACGGAAGGUCCGGGCGUUAUCCGGAUUUGUUGGGUUUAAGGGGAGCGUAGAUGGGUUGUUAGAUCAGUUUUGAAAGUUUGCGGCUCAACCGUAAAAUUGCUAUUGAUACUGGCAGUCUGGAGUACAGUUGAGGUAGGCGGAAUUCGUGGUGUAGCGGUGAAAUGCUUAGAUAUCACGAAGAACCCCGAUUGCGAAGGCAGCUUACUAAACUGUGACUGACAUUGAUGCUCGAAAGUGUGGGUAUCAAACAGGAUUAGAUACCCCUGUAGUC